rnacentral:misc_RNA from 1 species
UUAAGUUCAGCGGGUAUCCCUACCUGAUCCGAGGUCAACCUUUUGAUAAAUUAGGAGUUGAUGGCAGGCACACAUCCAAACAUCCAAAGCGAGAGAAUUACUACGCUUGAAGCCAGAUGGCACCGCCACUGAUUUUAAGGUGCACCAUUGCCAGGUGACACCCAAUACCAAGCUGAGCUUGAGGGUUGAAAUGACGCUCG